CCUACGGGGGGCAGCAGUGGGGAAUAUUGGACAAUGGGCGAAAGCCUGAUCCAGCCAUGCCGCGUGUGUGAAGAAGGCCUUCGGGUUGUAAAGCACUUUCAGUGGGGAAGAAAGCCUUGGGGCUAAUACCCUCGAGGAAGGACAUCACCCACAGAAGAAGCACCGGCUAACUCCGUGCCAGCAGCCGCGGUAAUACGGAGGGUGCGAGCGUUAAUCGGAAUUACUGGGCGUAAAGCGCGCGUAGGCGGUCUGAUAAGCCGGUUGUGAAAGCCCCGGGCUCAACCUGGGAACGGCAUCCGGAACUGUCAGGCUAGAGUGCAGGAGAGGAAGGUAGAAUUCCCGGUGUAGCGGUGAAAUGCGUAGAGAUCGGGAGGAAUACCAGUGGCGAAGGCGGCCUUCUGGACUGACACUGACGCUGAGGUGCGAAAGCGUGGGUAGCAAACAGGAUUAGAUACCCGAGUAGCC
rnacentral:rRNA from 1 species